rnacentral:rRNA from 1 species
AUGACUCAAAUGCUCCAGAAGGUUUGGAGAAAAUUCACCUCAAAAGCCCCGGGACUGCCGAACCAGCUGCAAUUUAGACACCCGAAAUGGUUGUGGCAGCAACCCGGGAAUAAUUACUGUGGAUACUACAUUUGCGAGUCCAUCCGCUACCAUACCUGUGAGCGGGGCUACACUGAAGAACAAUAUGAAAUUUUUCGGAAGCGGGAUCAACUCCUAGCACCAGAUCGUAUGCGAGGAAUUCAAGAGGAAUUGGCGGCAUUCUUCCUUGACCACGUGAUCGCUGAAAACGGAGAAUACUAUGUGGACCCUGUGUUCCUACAAUAUAAUUAG